rnacentral:tRNA from 1 species
GCCCGCGUAGCCCAAUUGGCAGAGGCGCCCGGUUCAGGGCCGGGAGGUUGGGGGUUCGAAUCCCUCGGCGGGUAC